rnacentral:rRNA from 1 species
AGUGGGGAAUAUUGCACAAUGGAGGGAACUCUGAUGCAGCAACGCCGCGUGGAGGAUGACACAUUUCGGUGCGUAAACUCCUUUUAUAUAAGAAGAUAAUGACGGUAUUAUAUGAAUAAGCUCCGGCUAACUCCGUGCCAGCAGCCGCGGUAAUACGGGGGGAGCAAGCGUUACUCGGAAUCACUGGGCGUAAAGAGCAUGUAGGCUGAUAGAUAAGUUGGAAGUGAAAUCCUGUGGCUUAACCAUAGAACUGCUUCCAAAACUGUCUAUCUAGAGUAUGGGAGAGGUAGAUGGAAUUUCUGGUGUAGGGGUAAAAUCCGUAGAGAUCAGAAGGAAUACCGAUUGCGAAGGCGAUCUACUGGAACAUUACUGACGCUCAGAUGCGAAAGCGUGGGGAGCAAACAGGAUUAGAUACCCUGGUAGUCCACGCCCUAAACGAUGCACACUAGUUGUUGCUAUACUAGAUAUGGCAGUAAUGCAGUUAACACAUUAAGUGNGNUGGNANGGGAGNCUGGAC